GACGAACGCUGGCGGCGUGCCUAAUACAUGCAAGUCGAACGCAGUGGGGACGGGUGAGUAACACGUGGGUAACCUCCCAUCAGAGGGGAUAACACUUGGAAACAGGUGCUAAACCGAUACUGAUGGAUGGACCCGCGGUGCAUUAGCUAGUUGGUGAGGUAACGGCUCACCAAGGCGACGAUCCCUAGCCGAUCUGAGAGGGGGAACGGCCAUACGGGGACUGAGACACGGCCCAGACUCCUACGGGAGGCAGCAGUGGGGAAUUUUGGGCAAUGGGGGAAAGCCUGAGCCAGCCAUCCCGCGUGAGGGAAGAAGGCCUUCGGGUUGUAAAGCACUUUUGGCAGAGAAGCGGUACCUGCAGAAUAAGCACCGGCUAACUACGUGCCAGCAGCCGCGGUAAUUC
rnacentral:rRNA from 1 species